rnacentral:rRNA from 1 species
UCUAUACUAUAGAGUUUGAUCAUGGCUCAGGACGAACGCUGGCGGCGUGCUUAACACAUGCAAGUCGAACGGUGAAGCCUUCGGGUGGAUCAGUGGCGAACGGGUGAGUAACACGUGGGCAAUCUGCCCUGCAUUCUGGGACAAGCCCUGGAAACGGGGUCUAAUACCGGAUACGACCUGUCCCCGCAUGGGUGGGUGGAAGCAUCCGGCGAUGCAGGAUGAGUCCGCGGCCUAUCAGCUUGUUGGUGGGGUGAUGGCCUACCAAGGCGACGACGGGUAGCCGGCCUGAGAGGGCGACCGGCCACACUGGGACUGAGACACGGCCCAGACUCCUACGGGAGGCAGCAGUGGGGAAUAUUGCACAAUGGGCGAAAGCCUGAUGCAGCGACGCCGCGUGAGGGAUGACGGCCUUCGGGUUGUAAACCUCUUUCAGCAGGGAAGAAGCGCAAGUGACGGUACCUGCAGAAGAAGCACCGGCUAACUACGUGCCAGCAGCCGCGGUAAU